AACCUUAUGGACCUGCGGGCGUAUACCUGCGGAGGGAUCAUUACGAAUUUGAUGUAUACAAAUCGAUGGUUUUAGCAAAGGUAUUCUCCUCUGCUUUGGCCGUCGUUUGGAGUGUAUUUUCUGCGCUUCUGCGUAGAGACUCACCCCAAAUCUCCUACGUGUACUUUCUCUUCUCCGCCUUCCCUGGGCGCGCGGCACACGCCGUCCACGGAGGUUGUUAAACUCUUGUUGUAUGAGUAG
rnacentral:misc_RNA from 1 species